AUUGAACGCUGGCGGCAGGCCUAACACAUGCAAGUCGAGCGGAUGAAGGGAGCUUGCUCCUGGAUUCAGCGGCGGACGGGUGAGUAAUGCCUAGGAAUCUGCCUGGUAGUGGGGGAUAACGUCCGGAAACGGGCGCUAAUACCGCAUACGUCCUGAGGGAGAAAGUGGUUGAUCUUCGGACCUCACGCUAUCAGAUGAGCCUAGGUCGGAUUAGCUAGUUGGUGGGGUAAAGGCCUACCAAGGCGACGAUCCGUAACUGGUCUUAGAGGAUGAUCAGUCACACUGGAACUGAGACACGGUCCAGACUCCUACGGGAGGCAGCAGUGGGGAAUAUUGGACAAUGGGCGAAAGCCUGAUCCAGCCAUGCCGCGUGUGUGAAGAAGGUCUUCGGAUUGUAAAGCACUUUAAGUUGGGAGGAAGGGCAGUAAGUUAAUACCUUGCUGUUUUGACGUUACCAACAGAAUAAGCACCGGCUAACUUCGUG
rnacentral:rRNA from 1 species